rnacentral:rRNA from 1 species
AGAAUCAACGCUGGCGGCGUGCCUAACACAUGCAAGUCGAACGCGAAAGCCCGCAAGGGUUAGUAGAGUGGCGCACGGGUGAGUAACACGUGGACAACCUGCCUUCGAGUGGGGAAUAACCUUCCGAAAGGGGGGCUAAUACCGCAUAAAACCUCGGAACACAAGUUCUGGGGUUGAAAAGAGCAAUUUGCUCGAAGAGGGGUCCGCGCCUGAUUAGCUAGUUGGUGAGGUAACGGCUCACCAAGGCUUCGAUCAGUAGCCGUCCUGAGAGGGAGCACGGCCACACUGGAACUGAGACACGGUCCAGACUCCUACGGGAGGCAGCAGUGGGAAUAUGGACAAUGGGCGAAAGCCUGAUCCAGCCAUUCCGCGUGCAGGAUGAAGGCCCUCGGGUUGUAAACUGCUUUUGUACGGAACGAAAAGCCCUUUUACUAAUACAGAGGGUCAUGACGUACCGUAAGAAUAAGCACCGGCUAACUACGUGCCAGCAGCCGC